ensembl:lncRNA
CUGUUUUGCUAAUGACACACUUGGACCACCCAAAUAAGCACACGGGCUAUUUGAAAUGACUCUACUAUGAUGCAAAACAUAAAACAAAAGAAUAAAUAGCAGUUCAGAAUUACUGCACUAAGAUAUUGUGGGUGUCAAAAAUGUGUUCGCAUAUCAAGACAGUAACUGGGUUGGGUUGGGGGGGUGUUACAGGGGACUGAGUCACAUGACUUUGCAUGACUUUUAGGUGCUACCAGUGCCAGGCUGCGUUUCACCUGUGCUUCACCUGUGCUUCACCUCUUUCUUUAAUUACUUUAAUUAUACCUUUGUUGGCUCUGUUUAUUUAUAUGUAUCUAUUUUCUCUCUCUUUCUCUCUCUUGGUCUGGCAAGGGUGUGCACACCUUAAGUAAGAAUGCAGGAAAACCCAAAAUAGCAACCCGCAGCUGCCAACUGACUCCAAGAUAUGCUGCUUUUUUCUUUUUCUUUUUUUUAUACAUAUAUCUGAUUUCAUUUAUUAAUCGCUGACACACAUGCUGCACAGAUUUAUGCACAUCAGACCGUGCUUAUGAAAACUGUGAGUCACUGCAUGUUUUCGUGUCUGUUUAUUUGCCUAUCAGGUGUCACGGAUACAUUUUUGAUGCUACAUGCAGCAGUUCCCGGAGUGCAUUCAGUGUGGAAAGUUCCUGGGUUAUGUAUGAAAACAGCUUCAUGGGAACUUUGUUUGUCACUGAUAAGUGCUCAGGUGUGCCUCUGAUUACAUGGGCUGAACGCCCCCCUACCAAUUUAUCUUCCAAAACACAAAGGUUUGAUUCUACAGAAGCACAACAAAGCAGGCAGCAAACGCUUAGAAGGCCACAUCGUAGGGUAAUUACAGUAAUCACCGCUUGAAGAAUAAACUAGCUGGAACGUAUGCAUCUUGCUCUUGCUUUUUGCCACAGCACAUGCGCAAUCUCCCACACCCACACACCUGAGAGGACAAACAGCUGCAGUCAAACAAACACCCCAGUACACACACGCCCCUGAGCUGGUGCCUAUCGAGCAGACUGCAGGAAUGAGUAGAGCUUAUGUGGAAUGUCUGAUCUUUGAGUUGGCUGCGAAGCUGACA